AGAGUUUGAUCCUGGCUCAGGAUGAACGCUAGCGGCAGGCCUAAUACAUGCAAGUCGAACGGCAUUAUGUAGCUUGCUAUAUAAGAGAGUGGCGAACGGGUGCGUAACACGUAUGCAACCUACCUUUAACAGGGGGAUAGGCUUUCGAAAGAGAGAUUAAUACCGCAUAAGAUUAUUGUCUUGCAUGAGAUGAUACUUAAAGUCGUAAGACGGUUAAAGAUGGGCAUGCGGGGCAUUAGCUAGUUGGUAAGGUAAAGGCUUACCAAGGCGACGAUGACUAGGGGUUCUGAGAGGAAUAUCCCCCACACUGGUACUGGGACAGGGACCAGACUACUACGGGAGGCAGCAGUAAGGAAUAUUGGUCAAUGGGCGGAAGCCUGAACCAGCCAUGCCGCGUGCAGGAAGACAGCCCUACGGGUUUUAAACUGCUUUUAACGGGGAGUAAAAAGGCUUACGAGUAAGCCAUUGAAAGUACCCGAAGAAUAAGGAUCGGCUAACUCCGUGCCAGCAGCCGCGGUAAUUC
rnacentral:rRNA from 1 species